rnacentral:lncRNA from 1 species
CUGGGCCCACCUGUCAACCACAGUGCAGAUAGGAUCAUUGUCCCCAUGCCUGGGCCAGCUGCAUGCAAAGGUGGUUUCAGGCUUUCAGCUUCAGGUAGGACCUUGUUUAUCAUGUUACUCUUGUAGACGUCAUUUCAUGCUUUAAAAAAUGACAAGAUGUGGAAAGGUUUUCCUGGAUUCUAAGAUAGUGAUACAUGAUUACAUUAUGCUCAUGUGCUGUGUUCACUAAAAACUCCACUUGUAAUUUGUUACUGUAUUUGUUACUGUCGGGGCUAAGUAGACAUGUCAGUCAUAUCUCCUUACGAUAGCAGUCAGAAGUAUUUCACACCCUGCUUUAGACUUGCUAAUUGCAGUGAGUUGAUAAAAACAAGUAGUACUCCUAAACUCGAUAGCUAAUCUGUGCAUGCCCACGGAAAAAUCAUGUAUACCACCAAUGGAUGUAAAAUGGUUGAAAAUUUACCACAAUUAAGAUUAUUAACACGAGAUAUUUGGAUCAUGUACCUUUUCCUGAUACUGGUCCUGGAUCAAAGUUUAUUGCAAGCUUAAUUUGUAGGACAUAUAUGGUUCAAUUGAACUACUUUGGGUAAGGGGGAUCAAACAGUGCAAGUUGGUGACUUUCACUAAUUGGAUUUGGUCCAACUUAUUUGGUUAGCUGAUGGUGCAAUCUUUCACAUACUUAUGAUGCUGCUGUUGUUCGUGCGCCUGUCGGCAUGUAGGCAUUUGUUUUCAUGUCUAUCCUGCGUAUUUUUUUUUGAGCUUGCGUAUCCUUAAUCUUCUCUUAGUGUAGUAGAGAUGCAUAAGUACAAAAUAAAAUAGAAAUUAAGGAAAAGAGCAAGGUAGCUAGCUAAAACAUUUAUUGAUGGUCAGCAAAAUUAGAUGGACAAUUACACAAGUGCUCAUAGGUUGGGGUUCACUCAACCUACCUUGUCGGCAUCCAAUUAUUCAACUCACACCAUGCAUGAUGCAUAUGGUACUAGCUAUAUAGGCCCGGCCUUUGCCAAUAACUAGCAACGUUUCUUUUGCAACCAUAUCAUGCACCUAUAGUAAUUGCAACCAUAAUGGUCUAACCUCUAGCUAAUGUGCAUAUAUCUCUCAUACUCAUGCAGGCAGGCCAGUGUGAUGAACUUCAAAUCAUAUAUUUCGAAGAAAACAAAAAGGCAGAUGAUGCCUAUUAUCGAUCUUGCUUGUUUUAAAUUUAAAGCGAGCAAAAAGUUGGUGAGGCUUGCUUGCUUUCCCUACCAUUUUUUCAGAUAAUUAAAUAAAUAUUCUAGACACUGCAUAUUAUGAUGCAUUUAGCCGUUGCUUUCUUACAACCUGGAGCUCUUGUUUGGAUCUAAUGUUUACCAUCGUUCCCUUGAUCGAUUUAACCUGAGAUCAUGCGUGGUUCCUACUUAGUGC